GACGAACGCUGGCGGCGUGCUUAACACAUGCAAGUCGAACGGAAAGGCCCUGCUUUUGUGUGGUGCUCGAGUGGCGAACGGGUGAGUAACACGUGAGUAACCUGCCCUUGACUUUGGGAUAACUUCAGGAAACUGGUGCUAAUACCGGAUAGGAGCUCCUGCUGCAGGGUGGGGGUUGGAAAGUUUCGGCGGUGGGGGAUGGACGCCCGGCUUAUCAGCUUGUUGGGUGGGGAGUUGCUUACCAAGGCUUUGGCGGAUGGCCGGCCUGGGUGGGUGACCGGGCACAUUGGGCCUGCGAGACGGACCAGACUGCUACGGGAGGCAGCAGUGGGGAAUCUUGCCCAGUGGGCGCAAGUCUGAUGAAGAAACGUCGCGUGCGGGAAGACGGCCUUCGGGUUGUAAACCGCUUUAGGCUGUGACCAAGCGUGAGUGACGGUAAUGGGUAAAGAAGCACCGGCUAACUACGUG
rnacentral:rRNA from 1 species